UUUGUGAAAAUUAUAUUCAGAAAUUGUAACUGGCAGUAAUGUGUGACAAUUAAACAGAAGUCUCUUUUCAGAUUUCCUCAUGCACCUGCAUAGAAAACUGUUCGAAAAAGGUGUAAGCAAAAACAUUUAGAAUUCGUGGUAUGUGAUAAACAGGGAUGCCAAUGUACUGGCUUAAUUUAGACCUAAAAUGUGACAACCUGUUGUACAAGCUGAUCUAUACAGGUAGAUCUCUGGACUGGAUGAAGAUUCAUUUAAAAGAUUAUCCCACAUGAUUAGUUGUAGAGAUUAAUAUGUGUAAUAAUUUUGUUAGGAAUGGAUUUCUGACCUAAGCAAGUGGCAGAAAGCAAUUAGUCUUUGGUACAGUAUCUGACACAAGGUAUGCAUGCAUGGCACCACAAUUUAUUUCAAUGUAUUUUAUUUUAAUUUUUUAUCAUUAUUUUAAAUUGCCAUCAUUAUAUCUCUUUUUUUUUAACAUUUGUUACUAUCUUCAAGAUAAAAAUGAAACAGGAGAAAAAGGUACCAAUAUUCAUUGUAUUGUGAAGGCAUUUUUGUUGUUAGAUAACUAGAUGCUAUGAAAGUUUUUGUUUUCAGUCUGCUGCUAUGGAAAGAACGCAGAGGAAACAAGACGGAACUUGGCUCUGAGUGUUGUGUAUUCUGAAAUUAAUAGAUUGAUUUAAUAUGAUUGUAGAGGUAUGUAAUUGAAAUUUAUUUGGUAAUACCAGAGUUUAUUCCAACAUAAGAAUUUUUUAAAAAAUGGUGUAAUAAACAGCCUUAUAUCAGUUGGACAAAAUACAUUUAAUAAUAACCUUUAUUUUACUUAAACAGAGUUCUCAGAUACUUCGCAGACUGUUUUGGAGUUUGGGACAGGAACCUGUUGUUCAACCUACUUGAAAAAAGAAAAACAGUAGUCUCAGGAGCAUCCAAAUUUAGGAUGUGGGAUUUUAGGUUUUGAGGGUUUUUGUUUAUUUGUAGAAUGCUAUUUAAAAUUGUUACACUCGCAGCUCUGUGAAGAGCUGUUGAGGAGUAGGGCCAUGAUGAGAGCUGUUGAUGGGGCUUAUGUCUGGGCCUCUUUUUGAGAUACUCUGUGCUUCAGUUUUCUUUGAAGACAACUUGUCACCUACAUGUUUAGCUGCCUUUUGUUUAGUUCACCGUAGUACCUAAACUUACGUAGGCUUUUCUGUCAAUCCUAAAAACUCACUGCAUGUAACUGUGCUACUUUAUAUGCAUAAAAGCUCAUGGAGUAGAAAGCAAGAUCAAAAAUCACCUAAAAUUUUUACUAUAAUGAAUGGUCUUUGAGUCUUAAUUGUCAAGUUGUAGGUAUCAGCUCAAAGUUGACAGUUACACAUGCAUCCCUAAUGCAGAUAUUCUAAGCACCAAAAGCAGAAAAUGUUAGUAUGCUUGGUAAGCAGCUUAGAUAAUCCUAUAAAAAAUAGCAAAUCACAUUAUGUAAUUCUAUGUGCUUAUGUGCUUCACUUGCCCAAGCUCAGUGUAUUCUGUAGAAUUAUUAAUGAAUUCUACUAACCCAUUCAUUGGUGGGUUCCUUACAGCGAUCAACCGCAGCCCUGAGCAGAAGGACUUGGGGGUGUUGGCUGACAAGAAACUCAAUAUGACCCAGCAGCGUGCAUUCGCAGCCCAGAAAGCCAAUCUGCAUCAAAAGAAGCAUGACCAGCAGGUUGAAGGAGGUGAUCCUGCCCCUCUGCUCUCGUGAGACCCCACCUGGAGUACUGUGUUCAGCUCUGGGGCCCCCAACACAAGAGGGAUGUGGACCUGUUGGAGGAAGAGUCUAUUGAUUCAUCUGAAUCAUCUCACAUGGACUUGGUUAUUUUGUGGAAACACCUUUUACUGAAGCCAGUGACACUGACAUUCACAUCUACAAGAACAGAAUUUGCAUCAUUUUUGCCUUUCCAAAUAUUUUAUUCAGACUACUUUGGGAAUAUAUUGAUAAAAAUUAAAAAUAACAUCUUAUUAAUGCUGCAAGAACUGGCUUGAGAGAAUUAAUAAAGCUUCCUGUGUGGAUAACUGCAUGAAGAGAUAAACUGCAUCACUGAGGAGGUCUGAGCUGUAGUGUUGUCUUACUACUUUGUCUAUGCAUCUUGUAGACAGGCAACAAACAGGGGAGAAAGAAGACUAAACAAUUCACUAGAAGUCAUUCCAGCGCUCUGCAUUUCUCUCUUCCAGUUAAUGAAUACUGUUAGCUGGAAAUGGAGUCCUUGUCUUUUCAGAUAAGGGUUUUGACCCGUGCAGUUUUUAAGAUGCAGUCAUAUUUUCCUUGGUGUUCCCUGAUAGAGAAGCAAUUUUUUCCCCACAAAACGUUUUAGUUUACUGUAUCAGUUUGUUUCCUAGCUGCCAAGCUAAAGGAGCAGAUGGACAUCCAAAGCAGAUAUGGACGUCCUGUCCAGAGGUUUACUGUUUUGCUGGCAAAGUAAGGCAUCACUGCCAACACAGAAUCACAGAAUCAGCUAGGUUGGAAAAGACCUCUAGCAUCAUCAACCAUUACCCCAGGACUGCCAAGUUCACCACUAAACCAUGUCACUAAGGGCCUCAUCUACAUGGUUUUUGAACACUUCCAGGAACUGCGAUUCCACCACUUCCCUGGGCAGCCUGUUCUGAUGCCCGACCACCCUUUCAAUGAAGAAAUUUUCCUGAUAUCCAAUCUAAACCUCCCCUGGUGCAGCUUGAGGCUGUUUCUUCUUGUUACUUGGGAGACCUGCCACCUCCUUGCUCCAUCCUCCUUUCAGGUAGUUGUAGAGAGUCCUCCCACAUAUGGCCAAGAUGAACCACAGGUUCAUACCCUCAGCAGCCAAGAGGAGCUUUAGCUGACAAAGAGUGGCUAAACACCUACAGCCAGAAAUGACAGUGGCAGCCAGGAUCCCCCUGGGGUGGUACAUCCUCCUCCCAGCAGCACCUUGGUCUCCAGGACCCAUCCACAGCCUGCUGAGAACCGCACCUUUUCUAAAUGCUAUAAAGGGGCAGUUGGUGCGUCCAAUCCGCUGGCAGAGGGAAAGCAUCUUUUCUCCCGUUGAUGCUUUUGCCAACUGGAUUUUUGCUUUGCUAUUUCUUCACACGGUUAUAUGUAAGGUUACCCUACCACCGGGUUAUACAGCAAGGUUACUCCCUAUGGUGUCUGCAGCCAUAGAACCGGCCAUGCUUUCACCAGUAACCACACAUGGGCUACCUGCAGGUCCAAAGGCUCAAACGCUACUUGUGUAAAGCUAGCUCUAAUUCCCCUGCUUCGCUGAACAGAAACAUAAAAUGGCGGUGCCUGCGGACGCUCCCCACACGGCCCGAUCGGACCUUCACGCCGUUGAAAACGAACACCCUGGCUGUACGUGUGUGAAACAGGACUGCCCGCCACAGC